rnacentral:rRNA from 1 species
CCAAUAGCGUAUAUUAAAGUUGUUGCAGUUAAAAAGCUCGUAGUUGAAUUUUGGGUCUGGCCGGGCGGUCCGCCCUCUGGGUGAGCACUGUUCCGACGUCGGGCCUAUCCUUCUGGUGAAUCGGCAUGUCCUUUAUUGGGUGUGUCGGGGAACCAGGACCAUUACCUUGAAAAAAUUAGAGUGUUCAAAGCAGGCGUAUGCUCGGAUACAUUAGCAUGGAAUAAUGAAAUAGGACGCGUGGUGCCAUUUUGUUGGUUUCUAGAACCGCCGUAAUGAUUAAUAGGGAUAGUUGGGGGCAUUAGUAUUCAAUUGUCAGAGGUGAAAUUCUUGGAUUUAUUGAAGACUAACUUCUGCGAAAGCAUUUGCCAAGGAUGUUUUCAUUAAUCAAGAACGAAAGUUAGGGGAUCGAAGACGAUCAGAUACCGUCGUAGUCUUAACCAUAAACUAUGCCGACUAGGAAUCGGGCGAUGUUAUUCUCAUGACUCGCCCGGCGCCUUAUG